CAGGUAGGGAUACCCGCUGAACUUAAGCAUAUCAAUAAGCGGAGGAAAAGAAACCAACAGGGAUUGCCUUAGUAACUGCGAGUGAAGCGGCAAAAGCUCAAAUUUGAAAUCUGGCGUCUUCGGCGUCCGAAUUGUAAUUUGGAGAGGCAUCUUCGGUGAUGGCGCUGUCCUAAGUUCCUUGGAACANGAUGACAUANAGGGUGAGAUCCCCGUGCCUGGGUGGCUGUCCAUCUCCAUGUGAAGUGUCUUC
rnacentral:rRNA from 1 species